GAUGAACGCUGGCGGCGUGCCUAAUACAUGCAAGUCGAGCGAACAGACAAGGAGCUUGCUCCUCUGACGUUAGCGGCGGACGGGUGAGUAACACGUGGAUAACCUACCUAUAAGACUGGGAUAACUUCGGGAAACCGGAGCUAAUACCGGAUAAUAUAUUGAACCGCAUGGUUCAAUAGUGAAAGACGGUUUUGCUGUCACUUAUAGAUGGAUCCGCGCCGCAUUAGCUAGUUGGUAAGGUAACGGCUUACCAAGGCAACGAUGCGUAGCCGACCUGAGAGGGUGAUCGGCCACACUGGAACUGAGACACGGUCCAGACUCCUACGGGAGGCAGCAGUAGGGAAUCUUCCGCAAUGGGCGAAAGCUUGACGGAGCAACGCCGCGUGAGUGAUGAAGGUCUUCGGAUCGUAAAACUCUGUUAUUAGGGAAGAACAAAUGUGUAAGUAACUAUGCACGUCUUGACGGUACCUAAUCAGAAAGCCACGGCUAACUACGUG
rnacentral:rRNA from 1 species